ACAAAGUCCAACACAUUCCUAGUGUUCAAUUAGACUAUCGUGGCGUGGAAUAAGGAGAAUAAAACUGUCUCAGGUGAACCUACUCAGAAUCAGUACCCACUAUUGUUUGUGUGAUGUGAUAAUACGUCGUUUUCUUGUUGUAUUGGUGUUUUAAAGUUGACAUAUCUUGUCUGCAAUAUUCCGUUUAUCUGUUGGAUGCUCAUUCACUGUAAUGCUAAGUUUGAAAUACAUUUGUAUGUUUAGUUGACUUGUUUAGUCGGAACUGGAGAUAGAACGAUGCUUUGAUAGA